CCUGGCCUGGGGCGGCCCGGCGGCGGGGUCACCGGCCCGGGCCCCCCCCCCCCCCUCCCACGGGGACGCCGUGCCCCGCGGGGUGAUGCGGCCUCACCGCCCUCAGCCCUGCGGGAAGCCGCCAGCGUUCGGAGCCGGGUGCCCGGAGCGUGGUCAGUUUACCCCCCAAAAAAAACCAGCACCGACCCCGCCGUAGGGGAGAGGCCCCGCCAGCCAAGCUCUGGGACCCCAUAAACCUCGUGGGACCCCCACCAGCAAGCUUCCCCAGGAGCGUGGGGUGCCAGUCCGCUUUGCCCUGUGCUCACAGCUUUCCCUUGCACCCGCGAAAUAACCAACUGAUCAAAUAAUUGGGUGUCGCGCUGCCUUGGCAGAUAUUUCAAUAGCCCUUUUCCGCAGCAGGCGGGCGGUGAGGCGAGGCGAGGAUCGCCACAGGGAAACGUGGAAGGAGCAGCAGCCGCGCUGCUGGACGUGGGCACUGGCACAGCGAUGGGGUCUUGGAGCUCUGGUUCUGGCUGCGUGGAGCUCCGGGGGAAGCCAGCGCAGACCAGGUAAAAGAGAUGACACUACCAUGAAUAAAAGCAGGAAAAGAGAGGAAAGAUAAAUUUGUAUCUUUGGAGUUCUCUUUACUUCAGAGCCCUGCUGCGUCCUCGUUUCUGCAGUCAUGCUGAUCAGACAGCAACUGAAAAGCAAAGGCUUAUGGAGCAGCAAGAGAUAAGAGUUUCUGCUUUAUU